rnacentral:rRNA from 1 species
UUGCCAGCCGUGUGACAACGGUUACGAGGGUAGGCUCGACCCCGGAGAAUCGCCUGAGAAACGCGAAUACAUCCAGGAAAGGCCAGCAAGGGCGCAAAUUGCCCAUUGCCGAUUCGGCGAGGCAGCGACAAGAAAUACUGAUAUAGGGCUCUUUUGGGUCUUGUUAUUGGAAUGAGUCCAAUUUAAAUCCCUUAACCAAGGACAAUUGGAGGGCAAGUCUGGUGCCAGCAGCCCCCGGUAUUUCCAGCUCCAAUUACGUAUAUUAACCUUUGUUGAGGUUAAAAAGCUCGUAGUUGAACCUUGGGCCUGGCCGGCCGGUCUGCCUCACCGCAUGCACUGGUCCGGCUGGGCCUUUUUCCCCUGGGGGAGCCGCAUGCCCUUUACUGGGUGUGUCGGGAGAGCCAGGACCGUUACUCUGAAUAAAUUAGAUCGCUUCAAGAAGGCAUAUGCUCGAAUAGUCUAGCAUGGAAUAACGAAAUAGGACGUGUGGUUCUAUUUUGUUGGUUUCUAGGACCGCCG